GGCUGAGUGUCAGCAUGGGAAGCAUCACUGGAUACUGCGCCCUGGUUUUAGGGGCAUCACUUGCUGGGGAACUGAGUACUCCUGGGGUUUGGGGGGCUCUGCUGGGAUGAAGAACCAUCUGCCUUCUGGGUUUGGGGCACCACGGGCAUGGAGAGAGCUGCGUGGAGGUGAAGGACGUGGGAAGAUGAGUGUGCCCAGGUGGCCAAUAAAGGCACCAGCACCCUGGCCUGCUCCAGCAGUGGUGUGGCCAGCAGCGAGAGGGAGGCGAUUGUCACCCUCUGCCGGGCACUGGGGAGGGCACAGCUUCAAUCCUGCCUGCAGUUUUGGGUCGCUCACUACGAGGACAUUGAGGGACUGGACCAGGUCCAGAGAAGGGCAAUGAAGCUGGGGAAGGGUCUGGAGCACAGGGCUGGGGAGGAGCAGCUGAGGUCUGCCCUCAGCCUCCUCUUCUCCAGACUAAACAACCCCAGUUAGUUAUCUGGGAGAAGAGACCAGCCCCAGGCUCACUCCUCCCUCCCUUCAGUUGGAUCCAGCUAAAUUCCUCACCUGAUGCAGCCAGUCCAGGCUGCAGGAUGUGCUCCUAACUGGGAUGUUAGGAACAAGGGUGGUGGAACACUGCAAGAGGUUGCCCAGGGGAGGUGGCUGAGGCCCCAUGACUGGAGAUAUUCAAGGGAACUUUGGCGAUCGCUACUUCGGCACGGACGCUCCUCCCGACGGGAGCGACGACGAAGAUGCUCUCAGCACUUAGCUGCCUGCGGAGCCGCCACCAGCUCCGGGCAGCCUUCAGCGCCGCACCUUAACCCCUCUCUGUCCAUCUCAGGUCUCUCCUGGGACCAAAAGAAGCAGGAGCAGGCUGCGAGUAGUAGAAAAUCCAAAGCCAUUUAGUGGGUACAGCUGCGGCUGACACAUCCAGUACAGAGAGACCCCCCCCCCCCCGCCACCCCCAACCACCUCCCCUCCGGGGAGCUGCUCCUACAGCAACCCUGCAAGCCAGGAGGCGUCAGGGAUGCCCCCAGGAGCAACUUGGCUCACCAAGGCAGGAGGAGGUCAGCAGGAGAGAAGUUUUUGCUGUUAAAACAGUUCGGUUCUUUAUUUUUUUUUCCUUUGCAAAUAAAGACUUCUUUUUUUUUUCCCCCCUUUUUCUUCUUCUUUUAAUAUAUAUAUUUAUAUAUUUAUA